rnacentral:rRNA from 1 species
GACAGAGGGGGCAAGCGUUGUCCGGAGUUACUGGGCGUAAAGGGCGCGGAGGCGGUCUGCGGCGUCGGCGCUGAAAGCGCCCCGCUUAACGGGGCGAGGCGUGCCGAUACGCGCAGACUUGAGGCGAGCAGAGGGUGGUGGAAGUCAGGGUGGAGCGGUGAAAUGCGUAGAGAUCCGGAGGAACGCCAGUGGGGAAGCCGGCCACCUGGGCUCGUCCUGACGCUGCGGCGCGACCGCGUGGGGAGCAAACCGG